rnacentral:rRNA from 1 species
AGUGAACGAGGGUGGGAGGAGGAAGAGAGGCAAGUCGAAGGGCAGCACAGUAAGAGUUUGCUCUUACGGGUGGCGGGUGGCGGGAGGGUGAGGAAAAUAUCGGAACCUUGUCUUUCGUGGGGGAUAACGUAGGGAGAGUUAAGAUAAUAUAGAAUACGAUCGACGGGUGAAAGAAGGGGAUAUUAGGAACUUGUGGGAAUGAAUGAGCCGAUGUCGGAUUAGCUAGUUGGGGGGGUAAUGGCCAACCAAGGCGACGAUCCGUAGCUGGUCUGAGAGGCUGCUCAGCCACACUGGAACUGAGACACGGUCCAGACUCCUACGGGAGGCAGCAGUGGGGAAUAUUAGACAAUGGGCGCAAGCCUGAUCCAGCCAUACCGCGUGGGUGAAGAAGGCCUUCGGGUUGUAAUGCCCUUUUGUUGGGAAAGAAAAGCUGCAGGUUAAUACCCCGCUGUUCUGACGGUACCCAAUGAAUAAGCACCGGCUCCCUUCGUG